rnacentral:lncRNA from 1 species
AACCAUUCAACUGAGACGGUUUAUAAAUCCUUCUUGACUACCUUGGAGCUUGUGGUAUAGGAACUAGGUUGUUUAUAUUUGUUGAUUAUCAUCUUGUCUCUCAAAGAACCCAUUCUUUGAGUUCUAUCUCUCGUUCAUUUGCUCUUAGGAAAAUCACAUUGUAGGAUUACAAUGAACUACCCAAUAAAACAACAUUUGUUAGUUGGUUUAUAGAAGCGAUAUCCAAAAGUUAAUUUAAGGAUAUCCCACAAGAUUGUUAUCAAACAAAUAUUGCUUAUUUGCUCACAACCCCAAAUCUUAACAUGCUUAAGAUUUGUCUUUCUUUCCAACUACAUCUUAUGGAGUCAUGAUAGGAGCAUAUUUAUGCGACUUAGUUGGCUUGUUCUUGUGCAUUUAUGUCGUGUUUCCUUAGUU